CCUACGGGAGGCAGCAGUGAGGAAUAUUGGUCAAUGGACGAGAGUCUGAACCAGCCAAGUAGCGUGAAGGAUGACUGCCCUAUGGGUUGUAAACUUCUUUUAUAUGGGAAUAAAAUGUUCCACGUGUGGGAUUUUGUAUGUACCAUAUGAAUAAGGAUCGGCUAACUCCGUGCCAGCAGCCGCGGUAAUACGGAGGAUCCGAGCGUUAUCCGGAUUUAUUGGGUUUAAAGGGAGCGUAGGUGAAUUGUUAAGUCAGUUGUGAAAGUUUGCGGCUCAACCGUAAAAUUGCAGUUGAAACUGGCAGUCUUGAGUACAGUAGAGGUGGGCGGAAUUCGUGGUGUAGCGGUGAAAUGCUUAGAUAGCACGAAGAACUCCGAUUGCGAAGGCAGUUCACUGGACUGCAACUGACACUGAGGCUCGAAAGUGUGGGUAUCAAACAGGAUUAGAUACCCGUGUAGUC
rnacentral:rRNA from 1 species